rnacentral:rRNA from 1 species
UACAGAGGGGGCAAGCGUUGUUCGGAAUUACUGGGCGUAAAGGGCGCGUAGGCGGCCUCCUAAGUCAGACGUGAAAUCCCUCGGCUCAACCGGGGAACUGCGUCUGAUACUGGGAGGCUUGAAUCCGGGAGAGGGAUGUGGAAUUCCAGGUGUAGCGGUGAAAUGCGUAGAUAUCUGGAGGAACACCGGUGGCGAAGGCGGCAUCCUGGACCGGUAUUGACGCUGAUGCGCGAAAGCCAGGGGAGCAAAGCGGGG